rfam:Haemonchus contortus, ISE/inbred ISE, WGS project CAVP01000000 data, contig: Hcontortus_49420
UCCAGAGACACUUACUUGUACGAUUGACUGGGAUGUUUCCCUUCUCUCCGGUCUUUCUCCAUUUUUAUGAAAAAGGCAUCAACAAAAUCUUUUCCAUUUUCGUCCAAAGCA